GGGGCUGGAGAAGGUCCCAAGGGUUGGGCUGUUCGCCCAUUAAAGUGGCACGCGAGCUGGGUUCAGAACGUCGUGAGACAGUUCGGUCCCUAUCUGUUGUGGGCGUUAGAAAUUUGAGAGGACCUGCCUCUAGUACGAGAGGACCGGGGUGGACGUACCUCUAGUGUACCUGUUGUGACGCCAGUUGCAUCGCAGGGUAGCUACGUACGGAUGAGAUAAGCGCUGAAAGCAUCUAAGCACGAAACUCACCUCAAGAUGAGAUAACUUUUAAGGGCCGUGGAAGACGACCACGUUGAUAGGCUACAGGUGUAAAGACGGUAACGUCAAAGCCGAGUAGUACUAAUUACCCGUAAACU
rnacentral:rRNA from 1 species